rnacentral:rRNA from 1 species
UACAGAGGUCUCAAGCGUUGUUCGGGUUCAUUGGGCGUAAAGGGUGCGUAGGUGGCAUGGUAAGUCGGAUGUGAAAUCCCGGGGCUCAACCCCGGAACUGCAUUCGAUACUGCUGCGCUAGAGUACUGGAGAGGAGAUUGGAAUUUACGGUGUAGCAGUGAAAUGCGUAGAUAUCGUAAGGAAGACCAGUGGCGAAGGCGGAUCUCUGGACAGUUACUGACACUGAGGCACGAAGGCCAGGGGAGCAAACGGG